rnacentral:lncRNA from 11 species
CUGGCAAUAAAUUACCAUAUUGUAUUAUAUCUAUAUAUUGUAAUAUUAUUAAUAAUAUUACAUGUAAUAUAUAAUAUAUAGUUCAUAUUAUUAAAACUAAAGAUCGUAAGAAUUCUCAAGCCAAAGCCUCACUAAUCCUAUUCCUUAAGAUUUUUUUAUCGUAUCAGAAGCAAAUUGAGAAUAUACUGCAUGUCGCUUCUGGUGUGAGAGAAUCGGCUAUCUACAGAGACAUUACCCAGGGGACACCCGGUUGUGUUACCACCCGCAUGGGAAACUGGGGCUGACAGACGGGAGCUCACCCUGAAUCACCGACUUUUAGGUUUUCAGGUCAAGAGUUCAGCCAGCACAACAGUUUAACCCAUGCGCCACCGCGGUUCCAUAUCCCUUAAGAUAAAUCCAUAUUUAAGUCUCAAAUGUUGGUGGAGAAGUGAGAAGAGCACAAGCAUGGCAGUAUCAAUGGCAGCAUUUACUGGCCUCCCUGGUAGCAUUGUCACAAAUGUCUGCCUUCCCUCCCCAGCACAAAAAACAGUCCGCUCUCCAAUGACAGACAUCUGUUCCUGUCUAAAAAUGGGACUGGAGCCAAGGGCAAGAUGAGCUUCUAACUAGAAGCACUGCUGCCCACCUUAUCACUGUACAAAGCAAGCUUCUAGGACCGAUUUGUGGGGAAAUAUUAGGUAGUCGCCUAUUGUUAUGAUUGAUGGUUUGCUGGUUGAUAAAGAAGGGAGAUUCCUCCAAAACCUAGUCUUUAGGAGAGAGAGUCCUGAACUGAUGGAAACCACAGAUUCAACACUGCUGACAGAAGAAGGGUCCAACCCUGUUUCUCAACUGGCACGGAGGGUCCAAGGAGCUGGAGCCAAGAGCUGGAGGACUGUAUCAUCCUUGUUCAGCCGGGAAGAUGAACACAAACUGCUGGCCUCUGAGCCUUGUGCUGACCACCCCUUGGCAGCCAAACCGGAGGAGGAUUCCGCCUCCGAGAAGAGGACCGCCGGCCUUUGGGACGUCUUUGCUUCGAAGUGGCCGCAGCCUUCGGGCCUGGAGAAGAUGGUGGACCCCCGAGAGCCGCCCGCCAGGGGCAGGUCGGGGGACUCGGCGGCCGAGGAAGAGGAGGAGGGGGAAGCCGGCGGCACCGGCCAGGACAACGACCUCCGAGAAGCCGAAGGGAUGGCCUUCAAGUGGAGCUUCCUGACCAACAAACUGGCCGAGAUGAAGAACAGAAGCGUCUCCAAGAGCAACUAGGACAGAUGCAGGAAGGACAGACUUCAGACACGAUGCUUGUCUUUCCAGGAGAGGACAAGGACUGUCACUUUCUCCCCAAGAGCCUUGUGUGAUGCGGAGGAUCCAGGACAUUGUAUUAACCACCGCGAUGUUAGGAUGCUGCCCUCCUUGCACCCCCUUUCCCACGCGUGCCCCACAUUUCCCUAUCCCCUUGUCCUCCCCAUCUUCUUCAUAAGACUGUUCUUUCAAAUCUAUAUAUAUAAAAAAUGUAAUGUUCGUUUGUAGGACUGAGUAAACAACAAAACCACUGAACCAAAUCACACCAAAUUUGGCCACAAAAGACAUACUCAUCUAAUCUAUGUCUUUCAAACAAAAAACCUGGAAAAUAAAGUCCAAAUUAGAGAAUAUAUAAAUGUAAUGUACGUUUGUAGGACUGAGUAAAAGUCCAAAUUAGAGGACCAGGAAAAGCUGUGUAUACCAAUCUAUAUAUAUAAAAAUGUAAUGUACGUUUGUAGGACUGAGUAAACAACAAAACCACUGAACCAAAUCAUACCAAAUUUGGCCACAAAAGAUAUAGCCAUCCAAUCUAUGUCUUUCAAAUGAAAAAACCUGGAAAAUAAAGUCCAAAUUAGAGACGAGGAAGAGCCAUUUUCUACCCUGGUUGCUCGUCAGAAGGGUAGACCCUGCCCGCUUUAGGCCCCACCCACUUUUGUCUCCUAGCAACCCCCUCGGGCACAAUGGCACCGGGAUACAGCCAAGGUUCAGGCUUUUGAGGCUGCAAGGCUAUUCACUGCUAUUCCACCUGGACAACAAAGCAUUCCCAUAAGCCACAGCAACACGUGACUGGGCACAGCUUAUAUAUGUAUGUAUGUGUAUAUAUAUAAUAUGUGUGUGUGUGUGUAUAUACAUACACACACACACACACAUAUAUAUAGUCCAGAAUAAGUUCCUUAUUGGCUAGGCCAAUAUCCCUUACCACUUUCCAUGCCUAGAUGAUGUUUCGGGAAUA